AAUGAACGCUGGCGGCAGGCCUAACACAUGCAAGUCGAACGGGUCCUUCGGGACUAGUGGCGGACGGGUGAGUAACGCGUGGGAACGUGCCCCUUGGUACGGAAUAGCCCCGGGAAACUGGGAGUAAUACCGUAUGUGGUCGAGAGACGAAAGAAUUAUCGACAAGGGAUCGGCCCGCGUUGGAUUAGGUAGUUGGUGGGGUAAUGGCCUACCAAGCCGACGAUCCAUAGCUGGUUUGAGAGGAUGAUCAGCCACACUGGGACUGAGACACGGCCCAGGCUCCUACGGGAUGCAGCAGUGGGGAAUCGUAGACAAUGGGGGAAACCCUGAUCUAGCCAUGCCGCGUGAUCGAUGAAGGCCUUAGGGUUGUAAAGAUCUUUCAGGUGGGAAGAUAAUGACUGUACCACCAGAAGAAGCCCCGGCUAACUCCGUGCCAGCAGCCGCAGUAA
rnacentral:rRNA from 1 species